ensembl:snoRNA SNORD42 Small nucleolar RNA SNORD42
GUGCAAAUGAUGUGAAGUUUAUAUUGACUGACUACUUAUGAUGAACUCAAAGGAACCACUGAUGCCA